AGUCUGGUGCCAGCAGCCGCGGUAAUUCCAGCUCCAAUAGCGUAUAUUAAAGUUGUUGCGGUUAAAAAGCUCGUAGUUGGAUCUGCGGUCGUCGACACUGGUUCUCUUCUUGAGAUACUAGCUGUCGCGACCUACCUUGUUAGAUGUCUCUUGGUGCUCUUCACUGAGUGUCUUGAGCGUCUAGCUCGUUUACUUUGAAAAAAAUUAGAGUGCUUAACGCAGGCAUUAGCCUGAAUAGUGGUGCAUGGAAUAAUGGAAUAGGACCUCGGUUCUAUUUUGUUGGUUUUCGGAGCAUGAGGUAAUGAUUAAGAGGGACAGACGGGGGCAUUCGUACUGCCACGUUAGAGGUGAAAUUCUUGGAUCGUAGCAUGAUGAACAACUGCGAAAGCAUUUGCCAAGAAUGUUUUCAUUAAUCAAGAACGAUAGUUAGAGGUUCGAAGGCGAUCAGAUACCGCCCUAGUUCUAACCGUAAACGAUGCCACUUGACCCUGAUGACGUUGCAUUCUGCACGUUGUCGGAGUCGCCCGGAAACGAUUAAAGUUUUCGGUUCCGGGGGAAGUAUGGUUGCAAAUCCGAAACUUAAAGGAAUUGACGGAAGGGCACCACCAGGAGUGGAGCCUGCGGCUUAAUUUGACCCAACACGGGAAAACUCACCCGGCCCGGACACUGUAAGGAUUGACAGAUUGAAAGCUCUUUCACGAUUCUGUGAGUGGUGGUGCAUGGCCGUUCUUAGUUGGUGGAGCGAUUUGUCUGGUUAAUUCCGAUAACGAACGAGACUCUAGCCUACUAAAUAGUACAGAGAUCAUCAUGUCUCUGAUACUUCUUAGAGGGACUGACGGCGUUUAGCCGUACGAGAUUGAGCAAUAACAGGUCUGUGAUGCCCUUAGAUGUCCGGGGCUGCACGCGCGCUACACUGUAAACAUCAGUGAGCUUCAAAACCUUUUCCGAAAGGAAUGGGUAACCCCAUGAAACGUUUACGUGAUUGGGAUUGAGAUUUGCAAUUAUCUCUCAUGAACGAGGAAUUCCUAGUAUGUACGAGUCAACAGCUCGUGCAGAUUACGUCCCUGCCCUUUGUACACACCGCCCGUCGCUACUACCGAUUGGGAAAAUUUCAGAAUGCUUAGGACCGUGGCUUGUUUGGCCUUUGGCCUUACUCGUUGUGGAAAUAAGUAUAAUGAUAUUUUCCUAGAGGAAGUAAAAGUCGUAACAAGGUU
rnacentral:rRNA from 1 species